rnacentral:lncRNA from 1 species
AAAACGUAAUUUAGAAAAAUAAUGCCACAUCAGCAGCCACGACAGUAGCCCGGUCAGCAGCCCCGGCUAACUAGGACCUUCGCGUGGCAGGGACGCUGACGCGGGAAGCCACGCGGGACAAAAACACGUUGGUGAUCCGCGUGCGCACGAUCAGACGGCCCAGAUCCGUUCCCGCGCGCACGGACGACCCAGAUCUCACGUGUGCGGACGGUCCAGAUUUAAUCACGCACGAACGGUCCAGAUCGCAUCGCAAUAGAUGAUUCAGAUUUAUUUUCAAUUUAAUUGCGAUCGGACGGUCCAGAUUAAAUCAUGAUGGACAGCUUAGAUUAAAAGGGGAGGGUUAUAAAUAAUCGCAUCCACACCCAACCCCAAACCCUAGCUGCCAGAACCCUCGCUGGAGAAGACGACCCAACCACCGGAGGAACCGGCCGUCGCCACCCGCCGCCGCACCGGAGGACUUUUCAUCCGCCAAACGAGGUAAAAUUUCUCUCCUUGGCUCGUUUUUCGAUGUCGAACCUCCCUGUCGCCAAAUCGAAACCAAACCACCAGCCGAUUGGCCGAAAAAUACUGCCGAAGUCCAACGGCACCGCCGCGGGUUUCCUCAAUUUUUACCUCCGAUGAGGCCCUUCCCGUUUUCCGUUCGAUGUAAUUUUUAUACUACUGUGACCACCGUCCUUUUCUCUACAGGUUGAUCGGAGCAAAACAC